AAGGGGACAGAGCAAGCAGGAAUCUCAUGCCAUUAACUUCGAAAUGGCACUGAAGAUAGAAUUCCAAAGAUGUCAGCACCUUGACAGGUGGGAUCUCACUCUGUCACCCAGGCUUGAGUGCAGUGGUGCAGUCAGCUCACUGCAACCUCCACCUCCUAGGCUCAAGUGAUCCUCCCACCUCAGCUUCCCAAGUAGCUGAGACUGAGGUGUGCACCCCU